UUGUUCCCAGUGCUCCAGCCUUGUGGUCUAUAGCUGAUGGGCAUUGCCAACGUAGCUUGUUGAACCUCCCAGGCAGAAGAGAUGAUUUCAUUGCUCUUUGGAGGCACUGCCCCUGUGAUUCUGGAGCCAGACAUUGUUGCACUUCAGAAAAUCUGGUCCUGGCUCUUGCCAGAGGAUGGGAUUGUGGCAUCGCGCCCAUGACUUGGGCUGAGCCUGAAAAAAAACCUCCAGAAGGGCUUUCAAUCCAGCUGUGAUGCUGAGGGUUCCAGCAAAUAGCAAGGAACGCUUUGCCUCCCCAGGAAGUAGUGAAUGAGGACGGGGAAAGGUUUGCUGGCACACAGAGGAAAAUCACACCGUUUCAGGCAAGGCAGAACAAUGGUUCUCACCGAUGCCGUGUGCUGUUGGGAAGUGAACGUGAUCACGGAGGUAUUCAUUUCCUACCUGUGAGUUUUGGCUGGGGUGCUUCCUGCAGGCAGGCAGGACACGCGCUGCCUUGGCUCAGGCACUGCUCUGAGGUUGUGCUCUGCUUGCUGCAAGCGUGGAGAUUGUGCGAGUUGGAUGCUUUCCUGCUGGGUUCGGGUAUCAGAGCCUCCCUAAUGGGAUACCUGAAGGUGUAGACAGAGGGAGGGGCAGGAACAACCUCCCAGAUAAACUCCAUUGUGUGGGAGGGUGGAGGCUCCGAAUGGCCUCAGGAAGGAGUCAGGUGAUGGCAUGUUAUCUUGGAGCGGCUUUCUCCCCGUCUCAUGAAAAUGAGAAGAGACCCUUUUAACUUUCCUAGUGAGGGAAGGGCUGUGCUGGAGCCUUACUACACACUGGAGAAACCACACAGGGCUGAGCUGUUUUGAACGCCCCGUGUCUGACAAACUCUCCAGUUGCAGCUCAGUAGGACAGCCUGCUCUGCAGGCAGGGCUUGGCCUCUUCUGGAUGUGACGCCUCGAGGUGAGAUCAUCCCCCAGUGCUAAACCCAUAAGAAACCUGUUGAGUGAACCGAUCUUGUUUUUUUC
ensembl:lncRNA